AGCCAAACGUUUGAUUGUUUAGUGAAUUGUUAGUGAAAUUUUGUAGUUGCAUUUUAAAACGUAUAAAUUGGAUUAAAAAAUCAACAUUUAUACGUAGUUAUAAUACUUCAUUUAAUUAAUUUAACGCCUUUAGUAAAAUAGUAUCAUAUUUUAAAGAAAUUUACAAAAAAUACAAUACACACGAAUAAAAGGCGAAAAAAUGUUAAAAAACAGCCAUUUUGUUAGGAGACCGUAAAUUGUUUUUGUAAUUUAAAUAAAUUCAUAAAUUUAUUUC